rnacentral:rRNA from 1 species
UUUUAGAGAAAACACCGAUGAUGGUUAAAAAAUAUAUUGACGUAUAUUCAAUGAAUAAGCCCCGGCUAACUAUGUGCCGAGCAGCCGCGGGUAAGACAUAGGGGGCGAGCGUUAUCCGGAAUUAUUGGGCGUAAAGGGUGCGUAGGCUGUUAGAUAAGUCUAUAAUUUAAUUUCAGUGCUUAACGCUGUCUUGUUAUAGAAACUGUCUUGACUAGAGUGAGAUAGAGGCAAGCGGAAUUCCAUGUGUAGCGGUAAAAUGUGUAAAUAUAUGGAGGAACACCAGAAGCGUAGGCGGCUUGCUGGGUCUUUACUGACGCUGAGGCACGAAAGCGUGGGUAGCAAACAGGAUUAGAUACCCUGGUAGUCCACGCCGUAAACGAUGAGUACUAAGUGUCGGGGUAAAACUCGGUACUGAAGUUAAACACAUUAAGUACUCCGCCUGAGUAGAUACGUACGCAAGUAUGAAACUUAACAGGAAUUUGACGGGACCUCCGCACAAGCGGUGGAUCAUGUUGUUUAAUUCGAAUAUACACGAAAAAAUCUUACCAGGUCUUGACAUACUCUGGAAAGUGUAUAUGAAAUAUAGUGGAGGUUAUCAGGGGAUACAGUGGUGCAUGGUGUCUUUUGUGUCUAAAUGUUGUAAAUAUUCUAUAAAAAACAAAAACUCAAACCCUUUGUUUCGCUUAAUUUGGCAUAUAUAAAUGGGUGGGGAUUUUAAAAAAAAAUUGUGUAUAUAAAUAUUAGAAGAAGGUGGGGUUUUAUUUAAAUAUAUCUUCUCCCC